CCCCUGUAGCAUAAUUGGAUAAUGUUCCUUCCGACGAAAAGGGCGAUGCGAGUUCGAAUCUCGCCGGGGGCG
rnacentral:tRNA from 1 species